UACGGGGGGGGCUAGCGUUGUUCGGAAUUACUGGGCGUAAAGGGCUAGUAGGCGGCCAUCUUAGUCAGACGUGAAAUCCCUCGGCUCAACCGAGGAACUGCGUCUGAUACUGGAUGGCUCGAAUCCGGGAGAGGGAUGCGGAAUUCCAGGUGUAGCGGUGAAAUGCGUAGAUAUCUGGAGGAACACCGGUGGCGAAGGCGGCAUCCUGGACCGGUAUUGACGCUGAAUAGCGAAAGCCAGGGGAGCAAACGGG
rnacentral:rRNA from 1 species